GACAGAGGUGGCAAGCGUUGUUCGGAUUUACUGGGCGUAAAGGGCUCGUAGGCGGCCAACUAAGUCCGACGUGAAAUCCCAAGGCUUAACCUUGGAACUGCGUCGGAUACUAGAUGGCUUGAAUUCGGGAGAGGGAUGCAGAAUUCCAGGUGUAGCGGUGAAAUGCGUAGAUAUCUGGAGGAAUACCGGUGGCGAAGGCGGCAUCCUGGACCGACAUUGACGCUGAUGAGCGAAAGCUAGGGGAGCAAACGGG
rnacentral:rRNA from 1 species